UUUAUUGGAGAGUUUGAUCCUGGCUCAGGACGAACGCUGGCGGCAUGCCUAAUACAUGCAAGUCGAGCGGAGUUGAUAGGGAGCUUGCUUCCUUGAUACUUAGCGGCGGACGGGUGAGUAACACGUAGGCAACCUGCCCUCAAGCUUGGGACAACUACCGGAAACGGUAGCUAAUACCGAAUACUUGCUUCUUUCGCCUGAAGGGAGCUGGAAAGACGGAGCAAUCUGUCACUUGAGGAUGGGCCUGCGGCGCAUUAGCUAGUUGGUGAGGUAACGGCUCACCAAGGCGACGAUGCGUAGCCGACCUGAGAGGGUGAUCGGCCACACUGGGAC
rnacentral:rRNA from 1 species